GAAACGCGAUAGUUAAUGUGAAUUGCAGAAUUCAGUGAAUCAUCGAGUCUUUGAACGCACAUUGCGCCUUUUGGUAUUCCGAGAGGCACGCCUGUCUGAGCGUCAGUAAACAUCUUCGGCAGCGAUUUAUUUUGCAGCCGGUGUUGGCGGUCGGUGGCACUUCGCGUGCCAUGGUACCUUGUGGACGUUUCAACGUCCUGGCUGCCCCUAGCAGCGGCCACGGUACCCCGCCUAAAUACCGUAUAGCCGGGGGGAAGUUGCUCCCAAUACCGACGAUAAUAGUUAAUAUCUUCGUCCACGGGAAGCCACUAGCCUGGAAAGCUAUUAAAAAUUAAGGGGGAAGCCCCCCUUCUUUUUUUGACCUCAGAUCAGACGAGGAUACCCGCUGAACUUAA
rnacentral:misc_RNA from 1 species